rnacentral:rRNA from 1 species
AUUGAACGCUGGCGGCAUGCUUUACACAUGCAAGUCGAACGGUAACAGGCCGCAAGGUGCUGACGAGUGGCGAACGGGUGCGUAAUGCAUCGGAACGUGCCCAGUCGUGGGGGAUAACUACUCGAAAGAGUAGCUAAUACCGCAUACGAUCUAUGGAUGAAAGCGGGGGACCGUAAGGCCUCGCGCGAUUGGAGCGGCCGAUGUCAGAUUAGGUAGUUGGUGGGGUAAAGGCUCACCAAGCCAACGAUCUGUAGCUGGUCUGAGAGGACGACCAGCCACACUGGGACGGAGACACGGCCCAGACUCCUACGGGAGGCAGCAGUGGGGAAUGUUGGACAAUGGGCGCAAGCCUGAUCCAGCAAUGCCGCGUGCAGGAAGAAGGCCUUCGGGUUGUAAACUGCUUUUGUACGGAACGAAACGGCUCUGGUUAAUACCCGGGGCUAAUGACGGUACCGUAAGAAUAAGCACCGGCUAACUACGUG